GACAGAGGAUGCAAGCGUUAUCCGGAAUGAUUGGGCGUAAAGCGUCUGUAGGCGGUUUGUCGCGUCUGACCGUGAAAUUUCGAGGCUCAACCUCGAACUUGCGGUGGGUACGGGCAGACUAGAGUGUGGGUAGGGGAGACUGGAAUUCCUGGUGUAGCGGUGAAAUGCGCAGAUAUCAGGAGGAACACCGAUGGCGAAGGCAGGUCUCUGGGCCGACUACUGACGCUGAGGAGCGAAAGCGUGGGGAGCGAACAGG
rnacentral:rRNA from 1 species